GACGAACGCUGGCGGCGUGCUUAACACAUGCAAGUCGAACGAAGAGCGAUGGAAGCUUGCUUCUAUCAAUCUUAGUGGCGAACGGGUGAGUAACGCGUAAUCAACCUGCCCUUCAGAGGGGGACAACAGUUGGAAACGACUGCUAAUACCGCAUACGAUCUAAUCUCGGCAUCGAGGAUAGAUGAAAGGUGGCCUCUACAUGUAAGCUAUCACUGAAGGAGGGGAUUGCGUCUGAUUAGCUAGUUGGAGGGGUAACGGCCCACCAAGGCGAUGAUCAGUAGCCGGUCUGAGAGGAUGAACGGCCACAUUGGGACUGAGACACGGCCCAGACUCCUACGGGAGGCAGCAGUGGGGAAUCUUCCGCAAUGGACGGAAGUCUGACGGAGCAACGCCGCGUGAGUGAUGACGGCCUUCGGGUUGUAAAGCUCUGUUAAUCGGGACGAAAGGCCUUCUUGCGAAUAGUGAGAAGGAUUGAUGGUACCGGAAUAGAAAGCCACGGCUAACUACGUG
rnacentral:rRNA from 1 species